UUGAACUUUAAGGUCCAGCCCACACUAAACUACGCAAAACUUGCUGUUCCGCCCACACUCUUUCACAAAACCCUAAUUUGUGGAUCGCCAUUUCACUUCACUGCUUAUAUAUUCGAACCUAUAGCCUCCAUCCCUAACCAGUCUCUUCUCCUUCACUUUCAAAUUACAAAUUGAAAAUUAAAGUCAUUAUUAGGGUUCGUUAGGAUUUUUGAUUUCCGGAUCUUAAUUUCUAGAAAAGAAGAAUAUGACAUGGGUGGAACUAGAGGGCAAAAGCUUUCUGGAAUGCAAAAGCAAGUACUUAGUUUAUACAGAGGAUUUCUACGUGCAGCACGUUCCAAAUCUGAAGAGGAACGCUGCAAGAUAGAAUCUGUAAUAUGUCAAGAGUUUCGAUGCAAUUCCAAGGAAGUGGAUAGGAAGAAUUUUCAAUACAUUGAAUAUUUACUUCGUCGAGGAUAUAAACAGCUUGAUCAACUUCGGAACCCUGGUACCACUGGCUUAUCUUCUUUGCAACUUGAUUUUUCAAAGUAAAACUUUAAAAUACUUUUCAUAAAGAUCUUGUCAAUUUGUUAUUCAUAAUUAAUUCAGGAUUGAGAUGCUUGUCUUUUCUUAUACAGAAAAAUAAAUCAUUGGGAUGAUGUGUACUUUCCUUUUCAUUUGAUUAUGUUGUUUAUGGUUUAUUUAUUUUUAAAAUAAUGUUUUAGUUGUUAUUGUUGUUAAGCUACUUCGUCAUCGCUUUGAGCCAAGUAUCUAUAUGCUCUAUCGUAUAUUUAAAACUUAUCGUAUAUUUAAAACUUAUGUCGUCAAGUUUAUUCUAAUUGAACAAGUUGAUAAUCUUUAUCGGUGGUAUGAAGAGAUAAAAACACUAAAGAAGAGUUUGGGUCAGUUUGUUUUAGCUUUAAAAAAAUGUAUUUUUUCUUUGUAUUUUUGAAAAUGGAUUCUACAAAAAUGAUUUUCAAAAUAUUAUAAGUUUUUUUAAAUUUUGUUUUUAUAAAUUAAAAGAUUGAAUUGUUCAUUCUAUAACAUAAAUUUACAUUAUUGAAGAUCAAAACAUAGUCAAAAUCACAAUAUUUUCAAAAAGUUGUAUUUUAAAAAUGAGUUUUAUGAAAAGCCAUUUGAAAUAGCUUCAAAAUUAAGUGAUUUUUUGAAAAUUUGAUAUCCAAAAAAGUUUCGAUAAAAUGAUGAAAUACCUAAAAUAAUAUUUUAAGAAUAACUAUUCAAAUCAAAUUUUCAUUUGAAGCUUUUAUAAAAAGUUUUUUUGUAAAUUUCUUUUACACUAGAAUAUGUAACAAUAUAAAAAUCAUUUUUAAAAAAAGCCAAAACAACGGACCCUUGCUUGAAACUGGGGUGUGACAUCUAGAAUAUAUCAACAACAUCCGACUCCCCACUAUUUCCUAUCGAACACAAAUACCUCUCAUCAUUACUUAAACAAAGCACAUAAUCCAUUUUAGUGAAUGAACCUCUCAUAAUAUUCCAUUAUGUAUCUUUAUUUUACACACUUGCUUGAAAAUUAUCAAUUUUUUUGUAUUAAGAUAUUUUAGUGCAUCCAUUAUGAACCUCGACCCCAUGUGGUAUUUGUCAUACCACGAUUGUCAAAAUCCUUAACUAUCCCAUAGUUGUGAACACCGUAACCUUUAUGUUUCAACCACAACCACUUGAUACAUAUCUCAACUGAAAAGGAUACUUGACCUUUUUGCUAUAAGUAAUAGUCGAUUUCCCUUUGUUGUUGUAAUUUCCACCCCUUCACCAACAUGAAUUAGUUUGUCGUGCUUGCCUUACAUCCCAUUUGACAUAUCAUAGUGAAUGGUAACUACAAUAAUACAGUACUCUCGGUGAAUCAUUUGUUUCCAUGAUAUUACUUUUCUCUAAGAGAGAAAUAUCUAAAAAUUAGAACAUAAAUAAGGCAAAGAUAAACCUACAUAAUGACAAAUGAAGGUAGGCGAAAUGUUAAUGAAACAUACCUCUAUAAUGACAAAAAUAGGUAUACAAUCUAUGAAUACAAUAUGAAUCCUGGAUAUUACAAGAGUGUCCAAAAACCUGACAUACUAGAUUUUGUAUAAAACCGAUGUCAAAUUUAUUACACAAUUGAUUUUCAAGAAAUAUGAUUUAAACACCUACUAGAGAUAUCAUUAACUCAAAAAAUCCAACUAUUUGCCAAAAGAAUGAUCAAAUCUUCACUUAAUUUAUCCAACAACUAUUGGAUUUUUUGUUUUUAAUGAUUUAUGAAGAAUAAUAUUUUUCAAAUUUGUAAAAGGUAAAUUAUAAAAAAAAAUUAUAAUUGUCAUUUUUAAAAUGUGCGGGGGUGAUAGCGCAAUGUUAGAAAUGUGAUAAAUUCCUCAAUUUAAACCUUGGGCCUUCAGUUUGAAGCAUAAGAUCCAGCCCACUCAAUACUACCAAAACCUAGCUGUUCCGUCGACUCAUUCAUAAGUCCUAAUUUGGGGAUCUCCACUCACUUCAUUGCCCAUAUAUUCCAACCUCAUCGACGUUACGGAGUCACACGUUCAGGUCAAAUACUGGUUUACGUUUUGUUUGGUUUUUUGAUUUUUUCAUUUUUAUUUCAAAAAGAUAAGAUGUCUUCUUGGUUACUAUAAUCUUUGGUUGAGAUCGUUAGAAUUCUGGAGUUCUGAAUCUUGAUAUCAGUAAGAUUUCGUUUUAAUAUUUUCUCUUUAUUUUUGUUGUUCAUGUUGAAUAUUGUGAAUAUUUUGCAGUGACGAUACAAUUUGUGGACUAGAGUUUCUGAUUUGGGAAUCUUCGCCCAUUAAUUGAUUACAAACCCUUGGUUGUCUGAGCACUCUCAAUUUUCUCUAUUUUUAUCAAAUAACGUUUUUACAUUUUGAUAAUUGUUUAUUUUCUCUAUGUUAUUCAAUUUUAGGUAGUUAGUGUGUUGUGUUAUAUUUUGUGUAAUAAUUUUGAAAAUUAAUUAGGCUUAUGAUGAUAUUAUACUUUAAUCUUAGCGGAUUUCGGUGAGAUUUUUAAUCAAGGAUCUUAUUGUUACACACACUAAGCCCAUUUUAAACUCUCUUCUCAUCUCUUUUUCCAGAACACAAAGCUAACCACGUAGCGAAUCUACCACAGACCAUCUUCCCUUGAAUUUCGAUCCUAAUCGAUUGAGUCGUAUCUUGUCACAGAGAAAAGAAGAAGAAUUUGGCAAAAGCUUUCUGGAAUGCAAAAGCAAGUACUUAACUUAUAUAGAGGAUUUCUACGUGCAUGACGUUCCAAAUCUGAGGAGGAACGCUGCAAGAUAUAAUCCGUAGUAUGUCAAGAGUUUCGGCGCAAUUCCAAAGAAGUGGAUCGGAAGAAUUUUCAAUACAUUGAAUAUUUACUUCGCCGAGGCCAUAAACAACUUGAUCAACUUCGGAACCCUGGUACCAUUGGCUUAUCUUCUUUGCAACUUGAUUUCUCAAAGUGAAACUUUAAAAUACUUUUCAUAAAGAUCUUGUUAAUUUGUUAUUCAUAAUUAACUCAGUAU